ACAAGUCGUUAAUGAGCCUUUCGCCCUCUCUGCAGUUGUGUGUCUCCGUUGAAACUGCUAAGUUCCACUGGCGCAGAGCAGAAUUUUGAAUACACCAGUGUUCUGCAUACGCAUCUGUUCUAAUUGAUUCAGUUGAAGAAAGGAGCAAAAGGUUCUAUCAGUCCACGUUGUAUUAUCCCUGGAGGGUUAUUCUCUCCUUUACAACUUCUCCACAUGGAGGCAUACCUCCAAAACAACACACACUUCGAAACAAGUCGCGAACUGCGGAUGCUGCACUGCGAAGUUUGAGCACGAGAUCGACUGUUUAUGGUGUUGAAACAGGAAGAUUGAGCUGGCUGAACCAGAGCAGAACCUACCCCUGGGCUGAUAUACGAACCGAACUGAGUGGGUCUUUGGUAUUGCUAGAUUUGAGAGAGAAUAUUAGCUGCGGAUCUGUUUCUGCAUAACUUAUUUUAAUCACUGAUGCAUCUGCUGUUAUGGCUGCAUGUAUGUGGGCAAG